AGCGGAUGAAGGGAGCUUGCUCCUGAAUUCAGCGGCGGACGGGUGAGUAAUGCCUAGGAAUCUGCCUGGUAGUGGGGGAUAACGUCCGGAAACGGGCGCUAAUACCGCAUACGUCCUGAGGGAGAAAGUGGGGGAUCUUCGGACCUCACGCUAUCAGAUGAGCCUAGGUCGGAUUAGCUAGUUGGUGGGGUAAAGGCCUACCAAGGCGACGAUCCGUAACUGGUCUGAGAGGAUGAUCAGUCACACUGGAACUGAGACACGGUCCAGACUCCUACGGGAGGCAGCAGUGGGGAAUAUUGGACAAUGGGCGAAAGCCUGAUCCAGCCAUGCCGCGUGUGUGAAGAAGGUCUUCGGAUUGUAAAGCACUUUAAGUUGGGAGGAAGGGCAGUAAGUUAAUACCUUGCUGUUUUGACGUUACCAACAGAAUAAGCACCGGCUAACUUCGUGCCAGCAGCCGCGGUAAUACGAAGGGUGCAAGCGUUAAUCGGAAUUACUGGGCGUAAAGCGCGCGUAGGUGGUUCAGCAAGUUGGAUGUGAAAUCCCCGGGCUCAACCUGGGAACUGCAUCCAAA
rnacentral:rRNA from 1 species